GCUCGAGAUGAUGGAGGUGCUAAGGCGGGGCAGGAGAGGACGGCUCGCCGACGAGCUCGAGUUGGAGGCGGUGAGAUCUUUUCCUUCAUGGCUUCCCACCCGCUGAGCUCGUUGGUCCUCCUCCCUCCCCCGUGCGGCCGGCCUCGUCCUUCGUCGCUCGACUUACCAUCGACCCCUGGUACGCCUCCAUCCUUCGUCCCUUGCUCCGUGGCCCGGAUGUCGAGGGAGGGCGAGAGGCGGUGAUAUGCAGGGGUGAGGGAGAUGGAGGCGGUGACCUGCAGCUCCUAUUGAAGGGGCGGAGAAGAGGGGGUGCUCGUGUGAAAGAACAGUUUUAGAUUUGAGAAAGAAGAUGAACAGAAGAAUCCAAUAGAAGAUUUGGUGAAGAACAAGAUUUUAUUUCUGUACGCCUACAAGGUGUUCGAUGAAAAUCCCAGAAGGCUGGCAGGGGAAGAAUGAUCUAUUCUGUACGAUCUCGAAGACUGCUGCUUCUUUGGUCUGUUCACCAAGGUUUCCUCCCUUCCUUGUUUCUGUUAUGCUCUUGUGAUGCUCUGCGUCUGUGCUGAUCCACACAACUUGCUGGUCUCCAACUUAUUUAUUCUCUCACCCUCUGCAUUUGUGUAUGUAAUCAUGCAUACCCACUUAAAAAUGAACAAUGCUAAGCUGGAGCUGCAGCUGCAGGUAUAUUGCCUUACAAUACCCAUGGUGCCAGACGUGUUUUAUUCCACUGCUACCAAGAAGAUAAACGCGGCAGCUGAGCCUAUAGUUCCUGCUGAGAAACAUCCCAAUGUUGACAGCGACACUGCAAAUGGAGCUUCUCUAACCGCUAUCGAAGACACCGCUGUUCAUUUUAACCAGCCAAUAUGGAAGAGAAGAAGACGGAGCCAUAAACAAAAAUGACUCGGUAUAUAUCAUAUUUUCCUUGAUAGCCCCUUUUCACUGACCCAUGUUGAUUUCUAGACCCAAAUUUUAAUGGGUCUCUUGCAGGCCACGUGAAGAUUUUGCCUAUUCUCUGAGAUGGAUGAUGAUGAGCGGUGCAACCGAAAAUUCAGAGCUGGGCUUUACACACUUCAGCGGGUAAGUGAAGUUCCAGUUUAGCAGUGAGUUUAUAUUAGCUAAAUGUUAGAUUGGAAUGCAGGAGUAGCAUUACAACACCAAGGUAGAGACCUGAAGAGAAGCAAGGGGAUGGACCAAGGAAACUAGAACCGUGUUGUCGUGAUGUGGGUCGUGUCAUCUUCGUCCAUCUCCAUGAAGUGUGUUGCCCUACAGCAAGAAAUGAGGCACAUAACUGGGAACGAUUGGACGUGGGGAGAGAAGAAUGUUACCUUGUUGUUGACCAAAAACAGCAGUAAAGCUCCAACCUCUAGUUGGCUAACAGGAGAAUUCAUAUGUUAAUAACAAUGCUCCAAGAUCAAUCCAACCGUCCAAGGCAUAUGGUUUUGGAGAUCGCCAGUUUGCAAAUAUGGAAGGAAAAAUACCUUAUAGCAGCUAGCUGUGGGGUGAAAGCAGAUAUGGUUUUGGAGAUCAGCAGUUUGCAAAUGCGGAAGCAAAAAUACCUUAUAGCAGCUAGCUGUGGGGUGAAAGCAGAUUGCAUUUUUUUGAUUCAGUUAUGUUUGCACGUGGAUGUACCACAUCAAAACUGAUUGAACCAUCCUAAUCUCAUGGCAAUUCUUUGGCCCUAUUUUGUUCUGUAGCUGAACGACUGCUGAUAUUCUUUUCCCUGGCGGCCAUACAUGCCUAUCUCUUGUGUAUUCAUUGAUUAAUUUUUGUUGAGCAUCCUGGCUACCAAUCUGUCCUGCUUAGUAGUCGAUCCUAUUAAUAAGGGACAGAAUAGAAGUAACAAUGCAGGGAAGAACAAUAGCAUACCUAGUCAUCAAGGCCGGAUUCUUGUAUGCACACUUGGCGGCGGAGAGAGAACGACAUGUGGAGGGGAACGAUAUGUUUGAGGUUGAGGAUGCAUGGUCAGCCCGAGGGGAGGCUCGAUCAACUCGGGAGUUACCCCAUCGCCCGGCGUGGCUUCCAUGGGAGGAGCAUGGAGACGAUGAUUUUUUUCUUUAGGAAAUGAUUAAUUACUAUUCUAUUUUUUAGGGAAUAUAGAUAUUCUUUUGUUAGGAUAGUGAAGAGAUUUGGAUGUGCGGUUGUUUUUUAGUGAAAAAAUAUGGAAGGCGAGAUAUGUACAUGAUGGAUGUGAGGUUGUAUUUUCAAGUGAAAAGAUAUGGACGUGAGAUAUGUACGUGAGAGGGGAAGGUGAAUUGUUAUUCAGUUUUUUUAGUGAACUGGUAGGAUAUGUAAUGGCAAA